GGAAGUUCUGGCCAGGGCAAUUAGGCAGGAGAAGGAAAUAAAGGGCAUUCAAUUAGGAAAAGAGGAAGUCAAAUUGUCCCUGUUUGCAGAUGACGUGAUUGUAUAUCUAGAAAACCCCAUCGUCUCAGCUGAAAAUCUCCUUAAGCUGAUAAGCAACUUCAGCAAAGUCUCAGGAUACAAAAUCAAUGUACAAAAAUCACAAGCAUUCUUAUACACCCAUAACACACAAACAGAGAGCCAAAACAUGAGUGAACUCCCAUUCACAAUUGCCUCAAAGAGAAUAAAAUACCUAGGAAUCCAACUUACAAGGGACGUGAAGGACCUCUUCAAGGAGAACUACAAACCACUGCUCAAGGCAAUAAAAGAGGAUACAAACAAAUGGAAGAACAUUCCAUGCUCAUGGGUAGGAAGAAUCAAUAUCCUGAAAAUGGCCAUACUGCCCAAGGUAGUUUAUAGAUUCAAUGCCAUCCCCAUCAAGCCACCAAUGACUUUCUUCACAGAAUUGGAAAAAAACUACUUUAAAGUUCACAUGGAACCAAAAAAGAGCCCGCAUCGCCAAGUCAAUCCUAAGCCAAAAGAACAAAGCUGGAGGCAUCACGCUACCUGACUUCAAACUAUACUACAGGCUACAGUAACCAAAACAGCAUGGUACUGGUACCAAAACAGAGAUAUAGACCAAUGGAACAGAACAGAGCCCUCAGAAAUAACGCCACAUAUCUACAACUAUCUGACCUUUCACAAACCUGAGGAAAACAAGCAAUGGGGAAAGGAUUCCCUAUUUAAUAAAUGGUGCUGGGAAAACUGGCUAGCCAUAUGUAGAAAGCUGAAACUGGAUCCCUUCCUUACAUCUUAUACAAAAAUUAAUUCAAGAUGGAUUAAAGACUUAAACGUUAGAUCUAAAACCAUAAAAACCCUAGAAGAAAACCUAGGCAUUACCAUUCAGGACAUAGGCAUGGGCAAGGACUUCAUGUCUAAAACACCAAAAGCAAUGGCAACAAAAGACAAAAUUGACAAAUGGGAUCUAAUUAAACUAAAGGGCUUCUGCACAGCAAAAGAAACUACCAUCAGAGUGAACAGGCAACCUACAGAAUGGGAGAAAAUUUUCACAACCUACUCAUCUGACAAAGGGCUAAUAUCCAGAAUCUACAAUGUACUCAAACAAAUUUACAAGAAAAAAACAACCCCAUCAAAAAGUGGGCGAAGGACAUGAACAGACACUUCUCAAAAGAAGACAUUUAUCCAGCCAACAGACACAUGAAAAAAUGCUCACCAUCACUGGCCAUCAGAGAAAUGCAAAUCAAAACCACAAUGAGAUACCAUCUCACACCAGUUACAAUGGCAGUCAUUAAAAAGUCAGGAAACAACAGGUACUGGAGAGGAUGUGGACAAAUAGGAACACUUUUACACUGUUGGUGGGACUGUAAACUAGUUCAACCAUUGUGGAAGUCAGUGUGGCCAUUCCUCAGGGAUCUAGAACUAGAAAUACCAUUUGACCCAGCCAUCCCAUUACUGGGUACAUACCCAAAGGACUAUAAAUCAUACUGUUAUAAAGACACAUGCACACGUAUGUUUAUUGCGGCACUAUUCACAAUAGCAAAGACUUGGAACCAACCCAAAUGUCCAACAAUGAUAGACUGGAUUAAGAAAAUGUGGCACAUAUACACCAUGGAACACUAUGCAGCCAUAAGAAAUGAUGAGUUCAUGUCCUUUGUAGGGACAUGGAUGAAAUUGGAAAUCAUCAUUCUCAGUAAACUAUCGCAAGGACAAAAAACCAAACACCGCAUGUUCUCACUCAUAGGUGGGAAUUGAACAACGAGAACACAUGGACACA
rnacentral:lncRNA from 1 species